rnacentral:rRNA from 1 species
UACGUAGGGUGCAAGCGUUGUCCGGAAUUAUUGGGCGUAAAGAGCUUGUAGGCGGUUUGUCGCGUCUGCUGUGAAAUUUCGGGGCUCAACCCCGAACUUGCAGUGGGUACGGACAGACUAGAGUGUGGUAGGGGAGACUGGAAUUCCUGGUGUAGCGGUGAAAUGCGUAGAUAUCUGGAGGAAUACCGGUGGCGAAGGCGGCAUCCUGGACCGACAUUGACGCUGAACGGCGAAAGCUAGGGGAGCAAACGGG